CCUACGGGAGGCAGCAGUGAGGAAUAUUGGUCAAUGGACGCAAGUCUGAACCAGCCAUGCCGCGUGCAGGAAGACGGCUCUAUGAGUUGUAAACUGCUUUUGUACGAGGGUAAACGCAGAUACGCGUAUCUGUCUGAAAGUAUCGUACGAAUAAGGAUCGGCUAACUCCGUGCCAGCAGCCGCGGUAAUACGGAGGAUUCAAGCGUUAUCCGGAUUUAUUGGGUUUAAAGGGUGCGUAGGCGGUGGGAUAAGUUAGAGGUGAAAUCCCGAGGCUCAACUUCGGAAUUGCCUCUGAUACUUUUCGACUAGAGAGGAGUUGCGGUAGGCGGAAUGUAUGGUGUAGCGGUGAAAUGCUUAGAGAUCAUACAGAACACCGAUUGCGAAGGCAGCUUACCAAGCUACUUCUGACGUUGAGGCACGAAAGCGUGGGGAGCAAACAGGAUUAGAUACCCUGGUAGUC
rnacentral:rRNA from 1 species